UUUUUAAAGCAAUUAAGGGCGUAUGGUGGAUGCCUAGGGUCUGAGAGGCGAUGAAGGACGUGGUAAGCUGCGAUAAGCUUCGGGGAGCUGCACACAAGCGUAACAUCCGAAGAUUUCCGAAUGGGACAACCUAAUAUAUUGAAGAUAUAUUACCCCCACAGCAAUGUGAGGGAGCCAACCCGCUGAACUGAAACAUCUAAGUAGGCGGAGGAAAAUAAAAUAACAAUGAUUCCCUGAGUAGUGGCGAGCGAAACGGGAAGAGCCCAAACCAUGGCGGCGUGCUGCCGUGGGGUUGUAGGACUGCAUUUAGAAACUGUUAUCAAGCUGAAUUUUCUGGAAAGUUAAAUCAAAGAGGGUGAUAAUCCCGUAAGCAGAAAUUAACAGGGACGAGCAGUAUCCUGAGUAAGGCGGGACCGGAGAAAUCCUGCCUGAAUCUGCCGGCACCAUCCGGUAAGGCUAAAUACUCCUCAGACACCGAUAGUGAACCAGUACCGUAAGGGAAAGGUGAAAAGUACCCUAAACAAGGGAGUGAAAUAGUACCUGAAACCGUACGCCUACAAGCGGUCGGAGUCUCCACAGCAAUGUGAGGGAUGACGGCGUGCCUUUUGCAUAAUGAGCCUACGAGUUACUCCUCACUGGCGAGGUUAAGUUCUUAAGUAACGGAGCCGUAGCGAAAGCGAGUCCAAAUAGGGCGUUUAGUCAGUGGGGGUAGACGCGAAACUUUGUGAUCUAUCCAUGGGCAGGUUGAAGGUGUGGUAACACACACUGGAGGACCGAACCCGUUGACGUUGAAAAGUCUUGGGAUGAC
rnacentral:rRNA from 1 species